GACAGAGGGUGCAAACGUUGUUCGGAAUUACUGGGCGUAAAGCGCGUGUAGGCUGCUUCGAAAGUCGGAUGUGAAAGCCCUGGGCUCAACCUAGGAAGUGCAUUCGAAACUUCGAAGCUGGAGUCCUGGAGAGGAAGGCGGAAUUCUUGGUGUAGAGGUGGAAUUCGUAGAUAUCGAGAGGAACACCGGUGGCGAAGGCGGCCUUCUGGACAGUGACUGACGCUGAGACGCGAAAGCGUGGGGAGCAAACAGG
rnacentral:rRNA from 1 species